rnacentral:rRNA from 2 species
AGUCGAGGGGCAGCGGGAUUGAAGCUUGCUUCAAUUGCCGGCGACCGGCGCACGGGUGAGUAACGCGUAUCCAACCUUCCGUACACUCAGGGAUAGCCUUUCGAAAGAAAGAUUAAUACCUGAUGGUAUGAUGAGAUUGCAUGAUAGCAUCAUUAAAGAUUUAUCGGUGUACGAUGGGGAUGCGUUCCAUUAGGUAGUAGGCGGGGUAACGGCCCACCUAGCCAACGAUGGAUAGGGGUUCUGAGAGGAAGGUCCCCCACAUUGGAACUGAGACACGGUCCAAACUCCUACGGGAGGCAGCAGUGAGGAAUAUUGGUCAAUGGACGAGAGUCUGAACUAGCCAAGUAGCGUGAAGGAUGAAGGUCCUACGGAUUGUAAACUUCUUUUAUAAGGGAAUAAACCCUCCCACGUGUGGGAGCUUGUAUGUACCUUAUGAAUAAGCAUCGGCUAACUCCGUGCCAGCAGCCGCGGUAAUACGGAGGAUGCGAGCGUUAUCCGGAUUUAUUGGGUUUAAAGGGAGCGCAGACGGGUCGUUAAGUCAGCUGUGAAAGUUGGGGGUUCAACCUUAAAAUUGCAGUUGAUACUGGCGUCCUGGAGUGCGGUUGAGGUGUGCGGAAUUCGUGGUGUAGCGGUGAAAUGUUUAGAUAUCAGAAAGAACUCGGAUUGGGAAGGCAGCACACUAAUCCGUAACUGACGUUCAUGCUGGAAAGUGUGGGUAUCAACCAGGAUUAGUUACCCUGUUAGUCCACACGGUAAAGGAUGGAUACUGGCGGUUGGCGAUAUACUGUCAGCGGCUUAGCGAAAGCGUUAAGUAUCCCACCUGGGGAGUACGCCGGCAACGGUGCAACUCAAAGGAAUUGACGGA